rnacentral:rRNA from 1 species
CCUACGGGAGGCAGCAGUGAGGAAUAUUGGUCAAUGGCCGUAAGGCUGAACCAGCCAAGUCGCGUGAAGGUAGAAGCAUCUAUGGUUUGUAACCUUCUUUUAUAGGGGAAUAUAGGUAUCCACGUGUGGAUAUUUGCAUGUACCCUAUGAUUAAGCAUCGGCUACCUCCGUGCCAGCAGCCGCGGUAAUCCGGAGGAUGCGAGUGUUAUCCGUUUUUGUUGGGUUUAAGGGGUGCGUAGGUUGUUUUUUAAGUCAGCGGUAAAAUUUUUGGGCUAACCAGAAAAUUGCCAGUGAAACUGGAAGACUUGAGUGUGUUUGAGGUAGGCGGAAUGCGUGGUGUAGCGGUGAAAUGCAUAGAUAUCACGCAGAACUCCGAUUGCGAAGGCAGCUUACUAAGCCAUAACUGACACUGAAGCACGAAAGCGUGGGGAUCAAACAGGAUUAGAUACCCUAGUAGUC